AUGUCCUCCCUCGCGGCCGCCGCCGCCGCCGCCGUCGCCGCCGCCUCCACCUGGGUAAAAAGCCUCUCCCGCAUCAUCCCCUCCUCCACGCCAGCCGUAAAACCACCCAAGCGCAAUCCCAAGACCACCACCGAUGCUGGCUCCAUCCCGGAUCAGAAGCUCCCGAAGCCCCUCGGCGCACAUCCCGCCGGCGAAGCCGAGUCCGACGCGGGCCACAAGCUAGGGAAGCCCCUUGGCGGUGUCCUCAAGGCCCUCAUCAGGGAGCGGGACCCUGAUAAGCUGGUCUCCAAGUUCGUCGAAGCCUCGUCCGCAUCGUCCCGCUUCCGCGACGGGCGCCGCGCGUACGAUGUAGCGGUGAGCCGCCUCACUUCCUUGGGCCGCAAAGACGGCAUCGAGGCCAUCAUCGAGGCGCAGAAGCCCUUCCUCGAGACCUCGAGCGAGGGAUUUGCCACGCGCCUCAUCCGCCUCUACGGCAGUGCCUCCAUGCCAUCCCACGCGGCCGCAACCUUCCAUCUACUCCCCGCGCGGCAUAAGUCCACGAGGACAUUCAACGCCGUCCUUGCCGCGUACGCCGAGGCCGGAGAUGUUGCCGCGCUCACUGCUGCAUUCCAGGAGAUCCCAGCCGCCCACCCCUCCAUUGUGCCCGACCUAUACUCUUACAACGCGCUCAUCCGCACAUUGUGCCAGAAGUCCAACCUCUCAGCCGCUCUUUAUGCUGUCCAUCUCAUGAAGAAGCACGGUGUUUCACCUGACAUUAUUACUUUCAACUCGCUCUUGGAUGGUUUUCACAACAGUGGCCGUAAUGAUGAAGCCGAGAAAGUAUGGCAAAUGAUUAAGGAGAGGAAUUUGGAGCCAGACGCAAAAUGCUACAAUGCAAAGCUGCGUGGUUUGGUUGCACAAGGGAGGAUUGAUGAUGCAGCUUCUGUGCUUGAGAGGUUGGAGAAGGACGGGCCAAAACCCAAUAUAGUAUCCUACAAUGAGUUGAUUCGAGGAUAUUGCAAAGCAGGGAGGUUCCAGGAGGCCAAGAAGGUGUAUGAUAAUUUGAUGAAGAAUGAGUGUGUCCCAAAUAAGGGGACAUAUGAGAUUCUCGUGCCACACCUUCUGCAGGCUGGAGAGCUGGAUUGUGCACUGAGUUACUGUUAUGAUAUCUUUGCUAGUAAAAAGUGCUGUGGAGUCGAGUGGGGUGUGCUGCAGGAUGUAGUGAAUGCAUUGGUAGAUGCAUCGAGGGUGGUGGAGGCCACCAAGCUUGUUGAGCUUGACUGGCAGAAGUACUACCAUCGGAAGGGUUUGAGGAUGCCGCCUAGUGCUGGAACUGAUGAGGAAGAAUCAAUAUCAGGAGAAAAGGAGUGA
rnacentral:rRNA from 1 species